UUGGUUUGUUGAGGCUCCACUAUCGUUUUGAGCUUAGCACAAAAAUAUACAUAUUACUAAGCAUUCAAAAACAAUCUAGCUUACUCUCUUUGCGUUCAUGCAAUGACUCUCCACACAUACUUAUUCAACUUAUUUCGUACAAUCUAUUUCAUUUAAUUUCUCCUUUUUAACUUAAUUAAAUCCUUAAUUUCUACCUCCUAACUUGUGCCUAAUUAUAGAAAUGGA
rnacentral:lncRNA from 1 species